UUGAACGCUGGCGGCAGGCCUCACACAUGCAAGUCGAGCGGAUGAAGGGAGCUUGCUCCUGGAUUCAGCGGCGGACGGGUGAGUAAUGCCUAGGAAUCUGCCUGGUAGUGGGGGAUAACGUCCGGAAACGGGCGCUAAUACCGCAUACGUCCUGAGGGAGAAAGUGGGGGAUCUUCGGACCUCACGCUAUCAGAUGAGCCUAGGUCGGAUUAGCUAGUUGGUGGGGUAAAGGCCUACCAAGGCGACGAUCCGUAACUGGUCUGAGAGGAUGAUCAGUCACACUGGAACUGGGACACGGUCCAGACUCCUACGGGAGGCAGCAGUGGGGAAUAUUGGACAAUGGGCGAAAGCCUGAUCCAGCCAUGCCGCGUGUGUGAAGAAGGUCUUCGGAUUGUAAAGCACUUUAAGUUGGGAGGAAGGGCAGUAAGUUAAUACCUUGCUGUUUUGACGUUACCAACAGAAUAAGCACCGGCUAACUUCGUG
rnacentral:rRNA from 1 species